rfam:Glossina fuscipes fuscipes unplaced genomic scaffold Scaffold124, whole genome shotgun sequence.
AGGAUUUUUGAAACUCCCUUCCGGGUGUUGCAAGCGUUUUCAUAGAACGCCUACCAAGUCCGAACAUAAGCGUAUAAGACAAAUUGAUAGCUCUUUAUCAAAUCUGUGGGUGGUGGUGCAUGGCCGUUCUUAGUUCGUGGAGUGAUUUGUCUGGUUAAUUCCGAUAACGAACGAGACUCAAAUAUAUUAAAUAGAUGCUUUCAGGAUUAUGGUGUUGAAGCCAUUAUGGCCUUUAUUUAUGAGCACAGUGGAAUGUGAGUGUUUGAAUGUGUUUAUAAUAGUGAGGCCGUAUCUGCUGGUUUGUCCUUUUAUAGGACAAUAGCUUCUUAAAUAGACAAAUUGCGUCCAACAAUGAUGAGAUUGAACAAUAACAGGUCUGCAAUGCCUGGUCCUAGACCGAGAGAUCCGGGAUUGUGAAAUAAAACUGUUCGCAUGAACUACGACGUCCCAGUAAGUGUGAGUCAUUAAAGCGCAUGGAUUAC